CACGUAGGGCGCAAGCGUUGUCCGGAAUUAUUGGGCGUAAAGAGCUCGUGGGCGGUCUGUUGCGUCCGCUGUGAAAACUCGGGGCUUAACCCCGAGCCUGCAGUGGAUACGGGCAGACUAGAGGUAGGUAGGGGAGAAUGGAAUUCCCGGUGUAGCGGUGAAAUGCGCAGAUAUCAGGAGGAACACCGGUGGCGAAGGCGGUUCUCUGGGCCUUACCUGACGCUGAGGAGCGAAAGCGUGGGGAGCGAACAGG
rnacentral:rRNA from 1 species